GAACACCUUGCAAAGUAUGGUGUAUAUAAGCUUCUCCUGCAGCACAUCAUGUUAUUUGCUCUUCUUCUCUGGAUCUGUUUACAGAGAGCAGACUUUCUUUUAAUUGGCAAAGUGAUAAUGUGGUCUCUGUUGCUUAGAGCUGUUUGGCUGGUGAUAAAUAGGACAGGUAGAUCAAGCUUGUACUGUUUUCUGAGCUUGCUUUUUGUGAACUGAACACUGAUGGCAGACUUCAAGAGAAGGUUAGAAAAUGUGAAGGCAAUUCAAGAUGCGGCAUAUGGAUGCAGGUGCUGGUGUAGCUAAUGGUGGUGGCUUGGAC
rnacentral:lncRNA from 1 species